UGUCUCGAUUAUUCUGUAAAGUCCUUCCCAAUUCAAACAUAAUUUUUUCUGAUCCAGAGAUUUUGAGAUUUCUGUUUUUUUUAGAACCAGAUCUCCUAGACGGAAGACCUUCGGCUUAACUUUUGUAUUAUAAUAUCGGGCUAUCUUUUGCCAAUAUGUCGCCAUCCGAACUCGAGCUUGCUGUCGAACUUCUAGAAGUAGAUCUAGAUCGACUCUCUAAUAUUCUGA
rnacentral:lncRNA from 1 species